GCGGGCGCGGGGCUCGGGGCUCUGCCGUCCCGCGGCCUGACCGAGCCGGGGAAGGGCCACGGGUGCAGCGGAAACCCUGCGAGGAGCAGCUGAGGGAGCUGGCGUGUUUGUCCUGGGGAAAAGGAGGCUCGGGGGUGACCUUAUCACUCUCUACCACUGUGGCCAGCAGUAAUACAUCAUUCUUGAGAUGUGCUGCCUUUUGAUGCUUCUCUAAAUGAAGGGUGACUGAAAUGAGAACGUCAAGGACAAGCAGAUACUUCAGAACUGUUUCCUGUGAGACAAAUAGGAAAGGACUGGGAAUUAUUUCUUCUAUAACUGAUUGAGAAGAAAAUAGAAUUAUGAAUCUAGAGAGUUGCUGCAGAGAUGCUGCUGUGAUAGGAAAAGAAGUAAUUGGCUUUUAUUGCAAGAAGGAAGAUUCAGUUCAGCUACUGGAAAAUAAUGGGAAGGAUAUUUCUACAUGGACAGACAUCCCAUUCAAAGCUAGCAGAAUUUCUGAAAGUAGCCAUGAGUCAUAAUAACAUUUCUGAGAUGUAGUUUAAUUUAGUUACUUAGCACUGAUGUACAUCUGGAGAAAAAGACCCCUCUGUUUUAUAUGAAGCUAAUAGAUCUGAUUAUGAAGAUGUAGUGUGUUCAUAUAUCCCAAGAAAAAUGUUUAUUCUGUUUCAUAAGUGUGAUUUUCUUUCUAGUUGAUAAACAAGACCUCAUGAUCUGGACACAAAAUCAGUUUUAAAAAAAUCAAGAAAUUUAUCAUAUAUACAAUGAAAAUCCCACAAAUUUGAUCAAAAGAGAAGUCAAGCUUAAAUUUAUGUAUUAGUCCUUCUGUUCACUGUAAACACAUUAUUCCUUUGGCCAUUGCAUAGCCUUAUGGCACUUUAAUUUUAUUACAUAAAGUGGAGAUUAACGUUGAACAAUAGCAGAAUGUAAGCAGAAUACAAGUCCACAUGCCUUCCAGCCUACAUAGCAGUCAUGAUGUUGCUGAGAUUUUUCUUGCAAGUCCUGUAAAAUUUCUUUCAUCUAAAAUGAAGUUCAGUUUCAUAUUGGAAUAUAUGCCUAAUGCAGUGUAAGUUAUCUUCAUAAAGAAGCUUGUCAGCAGGAACUCAUAUGUCAAGAUAGGAAGGAAGAGAUCAAAGUAUUUAAAUGGAGCAAACGUCAUGUGUUGGCUGUGAGGUAAUUAGUCUAGUUCCAAAAAUGGAAGUGAGCUUAUGCAGAAGCACAAGUUUAUCUUCAGUGAAAUCCUGUCUCAAGAAAAAUUUUCUGUAAACUUGUAUGAAAAAUAAUCAGUCUGGUACUCAGACUUUGACCCUGAAAAGUGCUGAGUACAACAUUGCUUCUGUCACUGCAAUUUAAUGAGUGUUUAACCUAAGAGUAGCACCUGACAAAUUCAAGCAUUUGUAGCACUAGCAGUUAGCAAACUCUGAUGGUGGAUUUGACAUAAAGGUGUAUUUGUUACCUAAUAGAUAUCAGCAAAAUGGGAAUUUAAAAUGUGAAUACUAAUUAAUAUGCCUAUUUCCAAAUAUAUCUGCCUGAGUAUUUUUUUUGGAAUUGCAUAGCCAGCUGUAUAUAUGAAAAAUUGUCCACUGAGCAUUAUCUUGGAAAACAACAUGAAUGACAGGCAGUACAUCUUUGAGUCAUAUUGCUUUAAUUUCCAGACUCAUUAGUUAAACAGAUUCUGUCAUAAUAAUGCUUCUGUAGAAGUCCUGCAGAAAGCAGUGCUGCUAUUUAUCCAGUAGAUGUACAUAGAUAUAGUGUUGGCACAUCAUGGUUUGAAUGAUCUGAAAACUGGGUAUUUUACAAAAGAUUCCCUCAAACAAAAAUACCCAGUAGCACAUCAGUGACUGAGACAAUCUAAACCACUUUGCCACAUGAGAAUAAUUUAAUUCUUUAAAAAGACAAAGUACAAAAAUGAUAUGUUUGUUCUCCCCUUGCUUUCUUCAUCCCACCCAUUUUUUUAACAGGGGAAAGGCAAGUGAUUAUUUUUUUAUUAUUAGCCAGAAGGUGGUUGUUUUAAUCACUAGGUUUUACUUGUAUAAGGAGACUUGAUAGCUCUGUUUAAGAACACUAAUUACUGGAGGGGCACAAUAUUUUACCCUUAUGAAUAAAGUUGAGAAGAAAAGUAUUUAUUAUCUUUGAAAGGACUGAAAGAGGCUACCUUACUCAUACUUGUCAACAUUAGUUUUCCAUGGUACAAGGUUGUUACAGCAGCAGUUGUCCCAUCUUAGGACAACUCAUAGGAUAGUUAGUAGGAAAGCAAAACAUAAUUUAUACCUUCAGGUUAAUGCCAUAUACUUACUCUGGAAAAAUAAAAUCUGUAGGAAAAAACUCUCACAUAAAAAUAUGGACUUCUUUGAUUUAGGAUGCUCAUACAGUAAUAUAAAGGCUCCCAAAUGCUACAAAAACCCUUUAUUUUUUAUGGCUAGAAAUUUAGAAUUGGAUGCCUUAGAAGGUACAAAUAGUGCUUAGUUCAAGAAUACAAAUGAUGUGAUAAAACAGUCUCUGACUUCACUGGCAGAAUAGAAAAGAAGUUGGAAGUUAAGAUUAGUUAGAAGAGUUCUGUUGUUCACCAGCUGGAAAACUGAUAGGAAAAAUAUUUGAAUGGUCUAAUGGUAAUAGAUUUUUAAGUAUACAUUUUAACAAUAAAUGCAUGUGGCCAAUUGUGACCAAAAGUAUUUCCUAGAAAUAUCCAGAAGGGCAUAAAAAUGUAAAAAGAGCUGGACAGAGAAAUGAAAGAAUGAGGUUUUCAUUAGGAGUGUUUGAAUAUCAAAUAGAUGCCAAGAGCAGUCAGCAGUUUUAUUUGCAGCUCAAAUUUCAGUAACUUGGAACCUGCUGUUAAUCAAACUCAUGUAACUUACCGGGAAAGGGAGAAGGUGUUCUGAGUAAAUAAUGUUUGAAGCAAUUUGCAGCUCUUUAUCUAAUAUAUUGACAAAUGUCAACAUGCAGAGAUACUGCAGCCAAAGGUGAAUGAACACUAUGAGAAGCAAAACCUCUCAGUCAAAAAUCUCUUUAUCUUUGCUCUAAUGCUUUGCUGCCUUCUGGCAUUUUGGUCACCAUGUGUACUAUGGUUAUAUAUUUGUUUGUUUGUUUGUUUUGGUUUUGGUUUUUUUUUGGCCUGUAAAAGAACACAUAGAUAUGAAAGCAAGCAAACAGAUUUUGAAAAGGAUUUUUCACCUGUUUUUCCUCUUGUUUCCUGAAAUAUUUGGCUGACCUUGAGGUAACCUCACUGGCAAAAUAACAACAGGCAGUCUAUAAGCAAAGGUUAAUGAUGAAACAAGGUCAAAAGUAGAAACCAGUUUCCCACUGCAGUUACAUUGAUAUACAUUUAGUAUAAUUAUAAUUAAUAAUUAAUUUUAACCUUUGGGUUAUGAAUAAAGUGAUUAUAAUAUUACAGUUGAUUUUAUGUAAGUUAUUUACUCCUUCCUGUGCACCAAAAAAUGUUGCUGUUGAUAAAAUAAUGCAAAAAAAUUUGCCUGAGGAAAUUUGAAUAGAUUAUAUUGCCAAGUAGGCUGAAAUUUACAUGUAAUAUUUUUUCAUUUCUACGUCACCCCAGCUCAAGUUGGUAGUGCUGUAGACUGAUUUUUAAUUUCAUGGCUGUUCUAUGUUAGGUUUUUAAACAGUCCCACAGCAAUAAAAUAUGUAAUUAACAGUCCUAGUCCUAAACUGUUAACCUUGUUUGAAUUAUUAGCAGAAUUUGAAGACUAAAUGGCCACAGAUAUUUGCCUUGGUAGUAGGAUUUCUGUGUUUAAGAGAUUUAGGAAUUUGGUAAUCUUAGACUUAGGGCUUUAGGGUUUCUUCUCAUAUACACUUAAGAAAGCAUUUGCAUCUUUCCUUGAUUUCUUUUUUGUGCAAUGUAGAAAAUAAUGUGGUCAUGUGAAGAUUAAAAAAAAAAUAAAUUCACAGUUCUGAUCAGGUUUAAUUUUCUAUUGCUUGUGGCUUGAUUUGGUUUAAUUCUCUAUUGCUUGUGGCACUGUGGAAUACUUCAAGAGAUGAAUUAGAAGUUGUACCUUACCUUCAUGUCCCUGCUAACAAGGGAGGUAAACCCUAAGAAAUCUAGUCCUGUUUUUCAUAAUGUCUGGUUUUCUGGGAUGAACUGAACCUUCCAAUUUUUGUGACUUAAGUGUGGUAUAUUUUAUGAGGACUAUAAUUUUGCUCAAAGUUUGUAGUACAUUUGUUUCUAAUAUUGUUUACAAAGUACUCAAAUAUUUAUCUCUCAUGUUCAGAUUGUUUUGCCUUUUUACUGAAUGAAUAUGUAAAUAGAAACAGUA